GGGGGGCGUGCCCACGAGGGCGCGGGGAGCGUGGGCGCUGGGCCCGGGUGCUGGGCCGGGCCUGGGGUCUGGACCCGGGAGGCGGUUCUGCGCGCUCGGCUUCCGCCUCCCGCUGCGGCUGGAGUGCCCAGUGGGCUGGCGAGCUAGACCCCCGGACACCCGAACCUAGCGGAGAUCCCGGGUCGAUCGGCCUGCUCCUCACCUCCUGCAGGCGCCCGGAGGAAGGGUCCCCCGCUGCUAGGAGUGCGCCGGGGGCGGUGGGAGGCCCCGCCCGCGCCGCCAGUCCCCUGGUAGCCGCGUGGCGUCGGGCUCCCGCGGGAGGGAGCGGUCUCUGCCCCAGUCUUUGUUUAGAUUCCCCAGGAGCCUGGAGGAGACAGCACCCCCUCCCCCGUCCCUGUCGCCGGCUGGGAGCUGCUGGGGAAAAGCCCUUGGGGGUUGGGAAGAGCCAGGCGCUGAGGGGGAUUUGGGUCGUCGUCCCCCGUUUUCAGAGCCCUAGGGUUUCCUUGGGGAACUCAUGCGGGAGUGAUUCCAGCCAGAGGUGUUCUGGGCCCUUGCCCCGCCCCCCCCCCGAAUGUGGCGAGGUCCCUGCUCUCCCCCAUUCACCCUCCAUUAUCUGAGCGAGCAGGAAAGGGAACUGGGGACCCCUUUUGUGCUCAGGCUCACUCUGGUCAGGCCCAGUGACGUUGCUCUCACACCUGUUACCCCAAAAGAGGGAACACCAAAGUCCUUGGAUGGAGUCCUACUGUAGGGUGAAUGGAAAUGUGAUGACCUGAAAAAAUUUACUUGGGCAAGACAGCUCAAGAGGAGGGCUCCUGGAGACAGGGGUUCUAUUCAGGCUCUGCCACUGACCUUGGGCGGGGCUCUGCCCCUCCCGAUUCCGGCCUUUCCGGUGCAGAGUGACUGUGUUGGACCAGGUCAUCUGGGAGGUCCGGGAUGGUGCGGGCUGAGACGUCAAAGGAUCCUUCAGUGCGUCUCCCCCUUCCCUGAACCUUUAACUGGGCUGGUUUGUAAUGAGGUCCCAGCUUUCCCUCGGCUCCAGGCUUCCGUGAAAGCUACUAUGACUUUGAAUUAACCGACUGUGCAACGUUUAGGAAGCUGCAGGUGAAAGACAAAAGGACCUUGAGAAAAGUAUGGCUUGCUGCCCUUCCAGAUGCAGAGGCAGCUCCGGUCCCUUUGCCAGGAGGACAGAUGAGAAGAUCAAAGCUUGGGGAAAUUCACUAGCAAUCUUACUGCUGAGAUAUCUUCCCAUUGUUUUUUUCUUUGAACCCAUGCUCACACCAGCCCUGUGGAUCUCAGAGCCGAGACCUGUGUUUUGUGACUGGGGUGUCUGCUUCCCACAGGGGACACGGGUUCAACCCCUGGUCUGGGAGGAUCCCACAUGCCACUGAGCAACAGGGCCUGUGCGCCACAACUACUGAGCCUGUGCUCUGGAGCCCAUGAGCCACAACUACUGAGCCCACAUGCCACAACUGCUGAAGCCCACACACCUAGAGCCCGUGCUCCACAACAAAAGAAGCCACCACAAUGAGAGGCCUGUGCACCAUAACGAAGGGAAGCCCCCGUUCGCCGCAACUAAAGAAAGCCCACGUGCGGCAAUGGAGACCCAACGCAGCC